rnacentral:rRNA from 1 species
CCCGAGUAGCAGCGGGCCCGUGAAAUCUGCUGUGAAUCUGUCGGGACCACCCGAUAAGCCUGAAUACUACCUGGUGACCGAUAGCGGACUAGUACCGUGAGGGAAAGGUGAAAAGUACCCCGGGAGGGGAGUGAAAUAGUACCUGAAACCGUGCGCUUACAAUCCGUCAGAGCUGUAAUAGGUGAUGGCGUGCCUUUUGAAGAAUGAGCCUGCGAGUCAUCGGUGUGUGGCGAGGUUAACCCGUGUGGGGGAGCCGUAGCGAAAGCGAGUCCGAAUAGGGCGCCGCAGUCGCACACUAUGGACCCGAAGCGGAGUGAUCUACCCAUGGCCAGGGUGAAGCGACGGUAAGACGUCGUGGAGGCCCGAACCCACUUAGGUUGAAAACUGAGGGGAUGAGCUGUGGGUAGGGGUGAAAGGCCAAUCAAACUCCGUGAUAGCUGGUUCUCCCCGAAAUGCAUUUAGGUGCAGCGUCGCGUGUUUCUCACCGGAGGUAGAGCUACUGGAUGGCCUAGGGGGCCCACAAGCUUACCGAAGUCAGCCAAACUCCGAAUGCCGGUGAGUGAGAGCGCGGCAGUGAGACUGUGGGGGAUAAGCUUCAUAGUCGAGAGGGAAACAGCCCAGAUCGCCGGCUAAGGCCCCUAAGCGUGUACUAAGUGGAAAAGGAUGUGGAGUCGCGAAGACAACCAGGAGGUUGGCUUAGAAGCAGCCACCCUUGAAAGAGUGCGUAAUAGCUCACUGGUCAAGUGAUUCUGCGCCGACAAUGUAGCGGGGCUCAAGUACACCGCCGAAGCCGCGGCAUUCGCACAUUAUCCCGCCUUCGGGCCAGGAGUGCGGAUGGGU